AUUAGUACUGCAGUUAAUAAAAAAAGAAAACAAUAUGGAGGAUAAGCAAGACGGUGACCCUAAAUUCAAAUUUGUUAGAAAAGAGGAAGAGAAGAUCAAAAGACGACGGAGAGAAAAACUAAAAAGACUGUCAAAUAAGAUCAGAGAAUUCAUGGAAGAGGAACCUGAUGUUCCAGUAGUGUUUUUGCAC